rnacentral:snRNA from 1 species
GUACUAUCCGUGGUAGCACAUAUACUAAAAUUGGAACAAUACAGAGAAGAUUACCAUGGCCCCUGUGCAAGGAUGACAUGCAAAAUCAUGAAGCAUUUCAUAUUUUU